rnacentral:rRNA from 1 species
UACGUAGGGUCCAAGCGUUGUCCGGAAUUAUUGGGCGUAAAGAGCUCGUAGGCGGUGUGUCGCGUCGGAUGUGAAAGCCCGGGGCUUAACCCCGGGUCUGCAUUCGGUACGGGCAUGCUGGAGUGCGGUAGGGGAGAUUGGAAUUCCUGGUGUAGCGGUGGAAUGCGCAGAUAUCAGGAGGAACACCGAAAGCGAAGGCAGGCCACUGGGUGUCACCUGACACUGCUAGGACGAAAGCGUGGGGAGCGAAUGGG